rnacentral:rRNA from 1 species
CAGUAGGGAGGAAGGUAGUGUAGUUAACACCUGCAUUAUUUGACGUUACCUACAGAAGAAGCACCGGCUAACUCCGUGCCAGCAGCCGCGGUAAUACGGAGGGUGCGAGCGUUAAUCGGAAUUACUGGGCGUAAAGCGCAUGCAGGCGGCCUGUUAAGUCAGAUGUGAAAGCCCGGGGCGUUAACCUCGGAAUUGCAUUUGAAACUAGGCAGGCUAGAGUCUUGUAGAGGGGGGUAGGAAUUUCAGGUGUAGCGGUGAAAUAGCGUAGAGAUCUGAAGGAAUACCAGUGGCGAAGGCGGCCCCCUCGGACAAAGACUGACGCUCAGAUGCGAAAGCGUGGGGAGCAAACAGGAUUAGAUACCCCUGGUAG